AUUUAGAUUAUUUUCAUUGUAAAGAUUUGCAUCACUUUUACAAUGCAACUUUUAUAAUGCAAUUUUACAACCUUGAAGAUGUUAUGUUGAAAACAUCUUAUGAAUCAUCAGUCCUACGCAGCUGAUGGAUGAUAAUAGUCAUGGCGUGGCACCCCGAGUGGAUGAAAUCAUGGCAUCCCUUCGUGCACCACUUGGCUGGCAGCACAGUGACAGUUUCAAAGAGGGCCUUCCUGCGGCUAAGCCGAACUCGCAUGACCAUUUUUGCCCAGGAGCUGGCUGUCCUGGUG